AAUGGCCUGGUUCCAAUUGUGGAGCCUGAGAUACUGCUCGACGGAGAGCACGGGAUCGAUAGGACGUUUGAGGUCGCACAGAAAGUUUGGGCUGAGGUCUUCUUUUACUUGGCUGAGAACAACGUCAUGUUCGAAGGUAUCCUCCUCAAGCCAAGCAUGGUCACCCCCGGCGCCGAGUGCAAAGAGAAGGCCACACCGGAGCAGGUCGCCGACUACACCCUGAAGCUCCUGCACAGAAGAGUCCCAUCUGCUGUUCCUGGCAUUAUGGUACGCAGCACCACCAUGAUCAUCUUGUUCGCUUCUCUCAUAGAGGUGAUGAUUGAUGCCCAUUCACCUGUAAAUGUUUUGGCGAACAGUUCCUCUCCGGUGGACAGUCGGAAGUGGAGGCAACCCUGAACCUGAAUGCCAUGAACCAGAGCCCCAACCCAUGGCACGUCUCCUUCUCUUACGCGAGAGCUCUGCAGAACACCUGCCUGAAGACAUGGGGAGGAAGACCGGAGAACGUGAAGGCUGCGCAGGAUGUGCUCCUAGUCCGGGCCAAGGCCAACUCGCUCGCUCAGCUCGGGAAGUACUCAGCCGAGGGCGAAGCUGCAGAAGCUAAAGAGGGGAUGUACGUCAAGAA
rnacentral:lncRNA from 1 species